AUUGAACGCUGGCGGCAGGCCUAACACAUGCAAGUCGAGCGGAUGAGAGGAGCUUGCUCUUCGAUUCAGCGGCGGACGGGUGAGUAAUGCCUAGGAAUCUGCCUAGUAGUGGGGGACAACGUUUCGAAAGGAACGCUAAUACCGCAUACGUCCUACGGGAGAAAGUGGGGGAUCUUCGGACCUCACGCUAUUAGAUGAGCCUAGGUGGGAUUAGCUAGUUGGUAGGGUAACGGCCUACCAAGGCGACGAUCCGUAACUGGUCUGGGAGGAUGACCAGUCCAACUGGAACUGAGACACGGUCCAGACUCCUACGGGAGGCAGCAGUGGGGAAUAUUGUACAAUGGGCGAAAGCCUGAUCCAGCCAUGCCGCGUGUGUGAAGAAGGCCCUCGGGUCGUAAAGCACUUUAAGUUGGGAGGAAGGGCUUACAGCGAAUACCUGUGAGUUUUGACGUUACCGACGGAGUAAGCACCGGCUAACUUCGUGCCAGCCGCCGCCGUAA
rnacentral:rRNA from 1 species